CGCCAUUAAUUGUCUUGUUAAAUUAAAGGUAUUUUGUUGUGUUAGUCAUUGAAAUUUAAUUAUUAUUUUACAAGAAAUUAUAAUUUAAGUUUUCACAUUUUCCUUCAAAAAACAAAUAUAAGAUGAUGGAAGAUAAAUUUGUGAUAAUUUUAGUAAAACGCCUAAUCUUACGACUCGCUCGGUAUAAUGUGUUUUUGUGUAUGUAAAUGUAUAUGAUCUAUGGUUUUUAUCGUUUGCAAGACUGGUUAUCGUUUGUUUUGGAACAUUUUUAAAAUUUUCUAAUUUUUUAUAAGUAAGUAGUAUUUUAUUUUAUACCUAUUAUGUAAACAAAAUAAUUGCCCGUGGUAAAAGAUAAUAAAAGUAAUGUUUCCAUUAUUAUAAGAUUAAUACAAACAUUUCAGUGUAUGUAUUAUUCCAAGCUUUGGAUGUGAACCAACUGAUAUUAUUGCACAGAACAUUGUAAAAACAGUGAUGGUUUGUAACAAAUGAAUUAGGUGAAGCAUAUUCUAACGAUGGUUAGAUGUGUAUUUGAUAAAUGUAUCUAAUGCCCGUUUGCAUCGACAAAUUUAAGUGGAGCUUAGCUUAAGUGUUACUUAAAAUUCAUGUCAACAAUUAUUGAGACAAUGGUUGUCGUGGAUUUUAAGCUAAGUUCCGCUUAAAUUUGUCAGUGCAAAUGGGCAUAAGAAGUAUUAGAUCGCUGAUUAACAAUUUUUUGUAUCUUGUUAGUUUUUUCUUGUUCUCAAUAUUCUCACUUUUCGUUGUUUAGUAAUUUCUAUAGCAACACAGAAAAUUUAUGAUUCGCCAGGGAAACUACGUUAUUGUGGUAUGACGUGUGUUGGUGAUGUCCUCAAUUUUAGAAACAGUGGGUAAAGGGUAAAGUUGGGUGCAAUCUUCUAUAGUUUAAACAAUGUUUCUUUGUGAGGAUAUUUUAUACUUUGUUUCCAGUUUUUUUGAGGCGAGCAAAAUUUUGUAACCGUAUAAUCACAACUAACGGGUGAUCCAAAAUGAGUGGUGGUCGAGUCGCCUUUGGAAGUUAAAUUUAAGUACGAUUACCUAUACAAAUAAAAAUUCCAAAGGUAACUCGACAGCAAUUCAUUUUUGAUGGCAUAGUACAUGUGCGUAUAUUAUAAUAUGAAUCAACAACCCGCUACAUAUCAUUUACUUACUACCCGACAUCCAGUGAUCCAUUGAAUGUGACCUAGUGAAUAUCCAUUUUUUAGUAGUUAAUCCGAAGCCGAAUAGCUUCAGUAAAUAGCAUGUUUAAAAUGAUGGGUACUAGAUAUUAUAACACAAUCUCCAUUAUUUAGUAUUGGAAGCAUUUAUCUAGAUCCUGUAUUUAAACUAAGAAAAAUUCCUUUAUAGUUUUGUAUUUUAGUUUUAAAUAUUCUUCUUCUGAUAUUUUAAACGUAAUAUUUUAAUGUAUAGGGUGGUUCAAAUUUAUUUCAUUGGAAUCUUUUUAACUGUACAGAUUACAGGAUAGGUUAAAUGGGGACAAAGUUGAAUUUUUUCGUAAUUAAUAAAAACUGUGACUGAAAAAUUAAAAAUUUUAAUUUUGUAUUUUUUGGAACUUUUUUCGCAGAAUUUUUUAUUAAGAUUGACACUAAUAUAUUACGAAUGGUCCAGUUUCUUUGGUAUAUCAUACAUUCUUUGUGUCGUUAUUAAUUCGUAGUGUUAUUACGUUUUUGGAGUUGUGUACUUGUAAAAAGAAAUCCAAUAUAUAUGAUAUACUUAAUUAAAGGUUUUUUGGUAUAUGGUCUUCGUUUGGCAUACUGAGAUUGUAGUAUUAACUCAGUAAGUAAUGGAACACAUAUUGAGUGAUAGACUUUUUUUUCAAUUUUUUUUAUACUAAAUCAAAAUUUAGUUAGUAAUAUGUACCUAUAUGCAAUGUUUCUAAUUUUUUUUUUUAUUAGAUAUGACUACAUUUUUUGGUUUGGGUGCGAGUAUUUUGAGAAGAGUGUUAGUAGAAGGUCAGGGAGACUCUGCUAACCGAAUUCAUGGUAAGCUCGUCGUUGACUUGUGCAUUGGCGGGCAAACGGUUUCCCAAUUAAGAAAAAGAGUCGAACGCUCACGAAGUGAUGAAUCGGAAUGGUUUGUGCCUAGAAAUACGCCCCUGGUCGUUUUGAUAGGAACCAAAGAUAUUUUAAGAGGUGGCAGAGCUUCUAUUGCCUUUAAUAAUUUUAAACGGUUAUUAAGUACAUUGGAAAAGUGGUCGAGGAUAACUCCCAUCAUAUUGUGUACUCUUCCUCCAAUAAAGCAUGCAAGUCCUGAUGUUCGACAUCAGUUGCAUAAAUACAACACGUCGAUUAGAACAUUGUGUUCUAAUCGAUGUGAUGUAUUUAGGCUAUUGGACGUGUAUGCCUUAUUGGAUGCGGAGGAUUACGAGGGCCACUUUUUUGAACGUGACGGUGUUCAUCCAAAUAGAGAGGGGCUUUUGAGAAUUUAUGAUUCCAUAAGUUCCCUCUUUAAUUAAUCGGUCUUGCAUGUUCGAGUACAUGAUAACCGUUUAGGAUUAUUUUUGGCGAUGGAAGACUACCCUUUUUGAAAAUCAUUUGGUAAACAAAGCAGCUUUGAUUCAUUUGAAUGAUCGUUUUAUUUUUUUGAUUAAUUAAUUGUUUGAAUUGUCAUGAAUUUGCUUCUCAAAAUUAUGAAGAUUAUUUUUUCCUUAUUUAAGGUUUUCAAAUAAUGAAAUUUAUUCUCAUGAAGUGGCUUAUUAUUAUUCUUUUAAGUAGUAUAUGCAGAAUGUUCUUUGGUUUACAUUUAUACUUUCAUCAAUUAAAGGAACACUUUUACCUAAGAAUAUGGUAGCAAUACAUUUAAAUGUAUCCUUGCACAUUCGAGUACAUGGUAACCAUUUAGGAUUAUUUUUGGCGAUGGAAGACUACCCUUUUUGAAAAUCGUUUGGUAAAAAAAGGAGUUCUAAUUCAUUUGAAUGAUCGUUUUAUUUUUUUGAUUAAUUGAUUGUUUGAAUUGUCAUGAAUUUGUUUUUCAAAAUUAUUAAGAUUAUUUUUUUCUUAUUUAAAGUAAAUAGUGUAAUUGUUGAUUUCCUUUUAGUUGUAUCACUUUCAUCUAAGGUUAUAGUAGUAAUACAUUUGAAUACAUCGAUAAUGAAAUUGCUAUGCAUACUUAAAAUCAUUUUAUUAUUAGACCAAUACUUAACAUACCGACAUAAAAUAUAAAGCCAUUAACAAUUACAGUAACAAAGUAUGUUUUAAAUGUAAGUAAUAUAAUAAUGUUUGUUUGUGAUUGAUAAUUAUUCUUGUAAAUUUAUCAUUUUUAAACGAUGUUGAUUCUUCUUGGUAAUUUAAUAUUGAAAAGUUGGAUGUUGAUCAUAUAUGAUAUGAUU